rnacentral:rRNA from 1 species
AACGAACGCUGGCGGCAGGCUUAACACAUGCAAGUCGAGCGCCCCGCAAGGGGGGCGGCAGACGGGUGAGUAACGCGUGGGAACGUACCCUUAUCUUCGGGAUAGCUCCGGGAAACUGGGAUUAAUACCGAAUGUGCCCUUUGGGGGAAAGAUUUAUCGGAUAAGGAUCGGCCCGCGUUGGAUUAGCUGGUUGGUGGGGUAAAGGCCUAGCAAGGCGACGAUCUAUAGCGGGUCUCAGAGGAGGAUCAGCCACAUUGGGGCUGAGACACGGCCCGAACUCCUACGCGAGGCAGCAGUGGGGAAUAUUGCACAAUCGGCGCAAGCCUGAUGGAGCCAUGCCGCGUGAGUGAUGAAGGCCUUAGGGUUGUAAAGCUCUUUCACCGGAGAAGAUAAUGACGGUAUCCGGAGAAGAAGCCCCGGCUAACUUCGUG